AUGUGCAAAUUAGCGGACUUUAUAGCGGCUCUCUAUUUUCCGUCGUUGUCUUUCGAGCAGCGCCUGUUGUUCCGGUAAAAAUCGAGUUGAAUGAAUCGCCACAACCCCAACGUAUAUCGCGCAGUGUUGACCAAGACCAAGUCCAGCAGGAAUUCUGGCAUGGUAUGUGGCUGCACGGAGGAUUCCGAAAAAGAAAAACAACAACAUGGCUAAUAGGAUGUUGCUGCCCAGGGAGUCCUGGCCGAAGAGGUUUACUCAUUCCAGAAGCAAGAAUUGUACAAUUGUAAGGCGAAUGGAAAUAAACUGACAUCGACUGAGAUA